rnacentral:rRNA from 1 species
AAACUGCCUGAUGGAGGGGGAUAACUACUGGAAACGGUAGCUAAUACCGCAUAACGUCGCAAGACCAAAGAGGGGGACCUUCGGGCCUCUUGCCAUCAGAUGUGCCCAGAUGGGAUUAGCUAGUAGGUGGGGUAACGGCUCACCUAGGCGACGAUCCCUAGCUGGUCUGAGAGGAUGACCAGCCACACUGGAACUGAGACACGGUCCAGACUCCUACGGGAGGCAGCAGUGGGGAAUAUUGCACAAUGGGCGCAAGCCUGAUGCAGCCAUGCCGCGUGUAUGAAGAAGGCCUUCGGGUUGUAAAGUACUUUCAGCGGGGAGGAAGGUGCUGAGGUUAAUAACCUCAGCAAUUGACGUUACCCGCAGAAGAAGCACCGGCUAACUCCGUGCCAGCAGCCGCGGUAAUACGGAGGGUGCAAGCGUUAAUCGGAAUUACUGGGCGUAAAGCGCACGCAGGCGGUCUGUCAAGUCGGAUGUGAAAUCCCCGGGCUCAACCUGGGAACUGCAUUCGAAACUGGCAGGCUAGAGUCUUGUAGAGGGGGGUAGAAUUCCAGGUGUAGCGGUGAAAUGCGUAG